GAUGAAGAACGCAGUGAAAUGCGAUAAGUAAUGUGAAUUGCAGAAUUCAGUGAAUCAUCGAAUCUUUGAACGCACAUUGCGCCCGCCAGUAUUCUGGCGGGCAUGCCUGUUCGAGCGUCAUUUCAACCAUCAAGCCCUGCUUGCGUUGGGGUCCUGCGGCUGCCCGCAGGCCCUGAAAACCAGUGGCGGGCUCGCUAGUCACACCGAGCGCAGUAAUACAUCUCGCUUUGGGCGUGCGGCGGGUUCUUGCCGUUAAACACCCCCUUUUUACCAAGGUUGACCUCGGAUCAGGUAGGGAUACCCGCUGAACUUAAGCAUAGCAAUAAGCGGAGGA
rnacentral:misc_RNA from 1 species